UCCCAUAUACAGUCACGACUGUAGGAUCAGAGUGAAUCUUCACAAGAGUGAGCAAGCCUGGUCCUCAGACUAGCAACAUUUGUCGUUGUUUCCGGUUACAUAACCCUUGCUCGAAUCCAUUCAUAAAUAGAACACAGGGGUGUCCCAAAUGCACCGUGACCCUAUCCGACAGUCACGCGAUAUAUAGCGCAUGUCCCGGAAAUAGAGGCCUAUAAGUGUGUAUGUAUGGUGUACAGUGAAUAGCAUCAUCGGUCAUUUGGAAUGCCAGUAUUUUAAGGAUUCCGCGCAGCUACGUUGACACAUGAAGCGAAGACCUUGCAGAGGGCUGCAGGACGUCAAUAUUUAUCAAGGCAUCUAAAAAUCUUUUGAAAAAAUUUUCUUUGAAAUAUGAU